AUUGAACGCUGGCGGCAGGCCUAACACAUGCAAGUCGAGCGGAUGAAGGGAGCUUGCUCCUGGAUUCAGCGGCGGACGGGUGAGUAAUGCCUAGGAAUCUGCCUGGUAGUGGGGGAUAACGUCCGGAAACGGGCGCUAAUACCGCAUACGUCCUGAGGGAGAAAGUGGGGGAUCUUCGGACCUCACGCUAUCAGAUGAGCCUAGGUCGGAUUAGCUAGUUGGUGGGGUAAAGGCCUACCAAGGCGACGAUCCGUAACUGGUCUGAGAGGAUGAUCAGUCACACUGGAACUGAGACACGGUCCAGACUCCUACGGGAAGCAGCAGUGGGGAAUAUUAGACAAUGGGCGAAAGCCUGAUCCAGCCAUGCCGCGUGUGUGAUGAAGGUCUUCGGAUUGUAAAGCACUUUAAGUUGGGAGGAAGGGCAGUAAGUUAAUACCUUGCUGUUUUGACGUUACCAACAGAAUAAGCACCGGCUAACUUCGUG
rnacentral:rRNA from 1 species